rnacentral:rRNA from 1 species
CCUACGGGAGGCAGCAGUGGGGAAUAUUGCGCAAUGGGCGAAAGCCUGACGCGGCGACGCCGCGUGAGGGAUGAAGGUCUUCGGAUCGUAAACCUCUGUCAGCAGGGAAGAACGGUCACUGUGCUAAUCAGCAGUGAAUUGACGGUACCUGCAAAGGAAGCACCGGCUAACUCCGUGCCAGCAGCCGCGGUAAUACGGAGGGUGCGAGCGUUAAUCGGAAUUACUGGGCGUAAAGCGCUCGUAGGCGGUAUGUCAAGUCAAGGGGGAAAUCCCCGCGCUCAACGUGGGAACUGCCUUUGAAACUGGCAAACUGGAGUGUGUGAGAGGAUAGUGGAAUUCCAGGUGUAGGGGUGAAAUCCGUAGAUAUCUGGAGGAACAUCAGUGGCGAAGGCGACUAUCUGGCACAUAACUGACGCUGAGGAGCGAAAGCGUGGGUAGCAAACAGGAUUAGAUACCCUGGUAGUC